rnacentral:lncRNA from 1 species
GUCUAUUAAUAUUAAAUAGAAAAUCAAUAUCGAGUAAUAUGAUUUUUAUCGGAAUGGUAGCCACACAUGGAACUACACAUUUGCUACAUUUUACCUAAAUAUUUUAGUUUCUGCUAUGAAAAACUGCAUGGUAUGUGUUACGAACCUGUUUUGGUGUUGGGGCAAGGCCGGCUUUGCCCCAACACCAAAACAGGUUUGUAACAAUAAUGGCGCCCAAUGUAAGACAAAUUUAUGAGUCGCAGUCCGUUCUCGAACACGAAAGUGGGAGAGUACGGCUGCGAAUCAUAAAGGUCGAAGAGAUUAUAAAUGUCCAGCCGAGAGGAACGAUCUCGAGUGGUAGUCUGCAGUCAGGGUCCGUCUGUGUUCCGGUGGCCUGUGAGGAGCUUUGAAGGCUGGCUCGCAGAUGCACGGCACUGAGGGAUCUGUAAAUGUAGGAAUCCACAAAGUAAAUUGUUUUUUUUUAGUUUGAGUUUAAACUUAUCUGACAGAGGGAAGCCGGAGCUCUCAAAGGGGUGAGGUUGGCACUGGCUGAGGAGAGUUCUCAAGCCAGUUUGCAACCGACCCGUUGCCUGGUGGACAAAAGAGAGCCGGAAAAGAAAAAAUACCCGAAGUUAGAUAAGAUGAAGUUUGUUUUGUUGUUCUAUGGUUGUAUCUAAACUUAGCUGACAGAGGGAAGCCGGAGCUCUCAAGGGGGUAAGUUUUGGCACUGGCUGAGGAGAGUCCUCAAGCCAGUUAGCAACCGACCCGUUGCCUGGUGGACAGAAGAGAGCCUGGAAAGGAAAAAAAUACCCGAAGUUAGUUAAGUUCGUGUAGUUUUUUUGUGCAGCUUCCCCUACUUACCGCUGGAGGACACCGGGAAAGUAGUAUCUCGUAGAGAUUUGUUUUACUCGAGGUGGCCCGUGGGGACAUCAAGUCGGCCACGCGAUGCACGUGGAGCAGCUAGAAGAUCCCGAGGCUAUCCUUCAGUAGAGUAGUGGGAUAGAAGCAGCUAGGUAGCAGAGUGAGCGCCCUUGACUCUUAAUCUUCUGUAGAAGAUGAGAGGUCAACAGCGCUCGCGAAGAAGUUGAAGACGUUGGACAAGCAAAGACGUAGGGAACCAAGUGCAGAUGGCCCCAGUAGCAGUUGUGGUUACUUUCCCCUCUUAGUGUUGAUCUUGCAGUAAUUUGAAGUUCCGUGUCAGAUUUUGUUUGAGUUUUGAGUUUCUGUGGAAGAGAGAAAAGUAGGUGGUCAGAAAAGUUUAUGAGCAACUACAAUUUACGGUCAAAGGGGAAAAUGACUAGCAGGACUCCUCCGCCAGGAAACUUGCCGGAACAGGGCGCAGAAGGAGGAGAGAACGACAGUUGGAACCAGCCGAAGUACCCAAAAGAAUUGCCGUCGGAAAUUAUUUCGGGCAUAAACGUCGCCAUAGCACAAGCGCAGGAGACGCAGAGAGGAGCUAUGGCGGACACCAUCAGCAGGACGCUGCAAGAGGAGAUCCGUCGAGGAUUUAUGGAGCUGAUGGGUGCCAUAACGGAGGCAAUGACGCCCCUGCGCCAGAAGGGAGAGCUGAUCCAGGAUCUGGGCUGGGAGGAUGGUCCGAAUGGCAGAGAAGGCGGCGCGAAGGCUCCAGAAUGGCGAAGACAGAGUACCGGCACCCGACCCAAAGGUUCCGUGGAACAACAGGAGCAUAUUCCACAAGCGCCUCCGAGGAAGCCGGAGAGACUGAGCCAAUAUUGGUCACGCAGGGUGGAAGAUGGCGACCUGGAAACGAGACCGAUGGUACCUGAACGUGAACCAGCAGGAGACGGCGGAGCUCGGCGAUACACGACGCCCUACGAGAGGCGAGACGACUGGAGAGAGCCGAGAUGGGGACGCAUCGACAAAUGGGACAUCCAUUUCGACGGCGACCCAGACCCGGCCAAACUGACGGUGGAGGAUUUUGUCUUUCGGGUCGAAUUUCUCCAGAGGCAGAGUCGACGCUCGUGGGACGAAGUCCUUGAUAAUUUUCACCAUCUGGUGAGAGGACGUGCUGCCGAGUGGUACUGGCAGUUUGUAAGAGAGAGGCCUCCAGAAGUCUGGGAGGACUUAAAGGACGAGUUGGUAUCCCGAUUCCGUGCAGUAGGUGGGCAAUACGAGCGGCUGCGUGCGUUGAAUGAGCGACGGCAAGAACCUGGAGAAUCGGUGGAAGAUUACUUUCGAGCGAUGCGGAGGCUGGCUGCAAGACUGAUCACCCCAAUAGCAGAUUCUGAGAAGGUCAGAGUCGUCAAGAAGGGACUCGAGGAGGAGAUCGCUCGUUAUGUGUACGCGAUCCGAGUCCGGAACCUGGAGCAGCUGAGGGAAGAGUGUGUAGAGGUGGAGUACCUUUUCCGCAGACGCGAGCGAAGGUCAGCUUUUCGCCCGACGCUGAAGUUCCAACAAUCCGGUAAGCGAGUGGAGGAGAUCGAGCCAGAGUCGGAGGAGCUGUUGGAAGGAGAGGAAGAGGUGAUGGUUGAGGAAACCCACCUGACAGCGAAGCCGAGGCUGGGCUGCUGGAAUUUCGGGGAAGUUGGCCACGGGUUCCGAGAGUGUAUGGCCAAGGAACGCAGAGUAUUCUGCUAUCUCUGCGGAAGGCCCGAAACGUACACGCCGAAGUGUCCCAACUGCUCGGGAAACUCAAGAANAGUAUUGGACACGGAGGGGGGAAGAUGGCGACCUGGAAACGAGACGGAUGGUACCUGAACGUGAACCAGCAGGAGACGGCGGAGCUCGGCGAUACACGACGCCCUACGAGAGGCGAGACGACUGGAGAGAGCCGAGAUGGGGACGCAUCGACAAAUGGGACAUCCAUUUCGACGGCGACCCAGACCCGGCCAAACUGACGGUGGAGGAUUUUGUGUUUCGGGUCGAAUUUCUCCGGAGGCAGAGUCGACGCUCGUGGGACGAAGUCCUUGAUAAUUUUCACCAUCUGGUGAGAGGACGUGCUGCUGAGUGGUACUGGCAGUUUGUAAGAGAGAGGCCUCCAGAAGUCUGGGAGGACUUAAAGGACGAGUUGAUAUCCCGAUUCCGUACAGUAGGUGGGCAAUACGAGCGGCUGCGGGCGUUGAAUGAGCGACGGCAAGAACCUGGAGAAUCGGUGGAAGAUUACUUUCGAGCGAUGCGGAGGCUGGCUGCAAGACUGAUCACCCCAAUAGCAGAUUCUGAG